rnacentral:rRNA from 1 species
CAUGCAAGUCGAGCGGGCGUCUGGACGAAGCUUCGGCCGAGACCAGACGCUAGCGGCGAACGGGUGAGUAACACACGAGCAACCUGCCCCGACCACCGGGAUAACAGAGGGAAACCUCCGCUAAUACCGGGUGUGCAGACCUGGUCGCAUGGCCGGGCCUGGAGAGGCGAAAGCCGGGUCGGGAUGGGCUCGCGGCCUAUCAGCUAGUUGGUGAGGUAACGGCUCACCAAGGCGACGACGGGUAGCCGGCCUGAGAGGGUGACCGGCCACAUUGGGACUGAGACACGGCCCAGACUCCUACGGGGGGCAGCAGUGGGGAAUCUUGUGCAACGGGGGCAACCCAGGCACAGCGACGCCGCGUGAGCGAUGAAGGCCUUCGGGUCGUAAAGCUCUUUUCCGGGGGAAGAAGCACCGCUUCGGCGGAGUUGACG